rnacentral:misc_RNA from 1 species
UCUCCGUAGGUGAACCAGCGGAGGGAUCAUUACAGAGUUGCAAAACUCCCAAACCAUUGUGAACGUUACCUAUCCCGUUGCUUCGGCGGGCGGCCCGGGCCCCGCGCCCGGCGCCCCCCGGCCCCCCGUGGGCGCCCGCCGGAGGUAAACCAAACCCUUGAAUUGCAUGGCCUCUCUGAGUCUUCUGUACUGAAUAAGUCAAAACUUACAACAACGGAUCUCUUGGUUCUG